AGCAGCCGCGGUAAUUCCAGCUCCAAUAGCGUAUAUUAAAGUUGUUGCAGUUAAAAAGCUCGUAGUUGAAUUUCGGGGUUCCACCGUUGGUCGGGCUAUUGUCUGUACUGGUGUGUGGAAUUUCUACCUUCUGGGGAACUAUCAUGUUAUUAAUUUAGCGUGGUAGGAAACCAGGACCUUUACCUUGAAAAAAUUAGAGUGUUUAAAGCAGGCUAACGCUUGAAUACAUUAGCAUGGAAUAAUGAAAUAGGACGAUCGAUCCUAUUUUGUUGGUUUCUGAAUCACCGUAAUGAUUAAUAGGGAUAGUUGGGGGCAUUAGUAUUCAAUUGUCAGAGGUGAAAUUCUUGGAUUUAU
rnacentral:rRNA from 1 species